UACGCCUACGGGGGGCAGCAGUGGGGAAUAUUGCACAAUGGGGGAAACCCUGAUGCAGCGACGCCGCGUGAGCGAAGAAGUAUUUCGGUAUGUAAAGCUCUAUCAGCAGGGAAGAAAAAAAUGACGGUACCUGAAGAAGAAGCCCCGGCUAACUACGUGACAGCAGCCGCGGUAAUACGUAGGGGGCAAGCGUUAUACGGAUUUACUGGGAGUAAAGGGGGCGCAGACGGCGGUGCAAGCC
rnacentral:rRNA from 1 species